rnacentral:rRNA from 1 species
CCCUUAGAUGUUCUGGGCGGCCCGCGCACUACAUUGGCACUCUCAAUAAGUUCCUAGAUCUAAAACUUUGGGGUAUUCUAUUAAGUGGUGUCGUGACUGGGAUUAACCCUUGCAAUUAUUGGUUACGAGCGAGGAAUUCCUUGUAAUCGCGGUUUAUCAGCCCGCGUUGAAUGCGUCCCUGCCCUUUGUACACACCGCCCGUCGCUCCUACCGAUGAAUCGUCCGGUGAAGUUCAUGGAGUGGUGGUUGUUCCAGCUGCUGUCGAAGUGAAAUGGACCUCACGAUUUAGAGGAAGGAGAAGUCGUAACA